GACGAAACGCGCGUUUGGCGUAUAUAUAAAAUUUAGUCCUGGUAUCUAUGAUGAGUUUAUUUACAACCACUGGGUCGAUGCCACUGCUGGUGGAGAUUUAUUUCCCCGAGGGUAUCACAAGCCCAGUAGUCAGCACUUUUUGUGCUGACAUGAAUUAUCAUUGAUAUUGUUAUAUUUAUAAAUUAACUGUUUACAAAAUUUUGAAUUUUUUGAAAUACUAAGGCUUUUCUACCUCAGACAUAGAUUACCUUAGCUGUAUUUGGCAACACUUUUAGGAAUUUUGGAUCUCAAUGCUCUUCAACUUCGUGCUUUAUUUGGCUUUUUUUUUCUUUUUUUUUUUUUUUGGAUUCGAGCGUCACUGAUGAGUCGUUUGUAGACGAAACGCGCGUCUGGCGUAUAUAUAAAAUUU
rnacentral:lncRNA from 1 species